CAUAGUACUUUUGAUAGGCAUCUUGAAGAAGUUAAAGAUUUAUUGGUAUAGGAUGGGCAUGCGUAAGAUUAGCUAGUUGGUAAGGUAACGGCUUACCAAGGCGACGAUCUUUAGGGGUUCUGAGAGGAUGAUCCCCCACACUGGCACUGAGACACGGGCCAGACUCCUACGGGAGGCAGCAGUAGGGAAUAUUGGUCAAUGGGCGAGAGCCUGAACCAGCCAUGCCGCGUGCAGGAAGACGGCCUUCUGGGUUGUAAACUGCUUUUAUAUGGGAAGAAAAGGGUCUUGCGAGACACAUUGCCGGUACCAUAUGAAUAAGCACCGGCUAACUCCGUGCCAGCAGCCGCGGUAAUACGGAGGGUGCAAGCGUUGUCCGGAUUUAUUGGGUUUAAAGGGUACGUAGGCGGCCGAUUAAGUCAGUGGUGAAAACCUACAGCUCAACUGUAGAGGUGCCAUUGAUACUGGUUGGCUUGAGUACUGUUAAGGUAGGCGGAAUUGAUGGUGUAGCGGUGAAAUGCAUAGAUACCAUCAGGAACACCGAUUGCGAAGGCAGCUUACUGGGCAGUUACUGACGCUAAUGUACGAAAGCGUGGGGAGCGAACAGGAUUAGAUA
rnacentral:rRNA from 1 species